rnacentral:rRNA from 1 species
GCAUACCGCCGGCCCCGAAAUACAGUGGCGGCCCGUCCGCGGCGACCUCUGCGUAGUACUCCAACGCGCACCGGGAACCCGACGCGGCCACGCCGUAAAACACCCAACUUCUGAACGUUGACCUCGGAUCAGGUAGGACU